rnacentral:rRNA from 1 species
AUUGAACGCUGGCGGCAUGCUUUACACAUGCAAGUCGAACGGCAGCGCGGGCUUCGGCCUGGCGGCGAGUGGCGAACGGGUGAGUAAUGCAUCGGAACGUGCCCCGUAGCGGGGGAUAGCCCGGCGAAAGCCGGAUCAAUACCGCAUACGACCUGAGGGUGAAAGCGGGGGACCGAAAGGCCUUGCGCUAUGGGAGCGGCCGAUGUCGGAUUAGCUAGUUGGUGGGGUAAAGGCUUACCAAGGCGACGAUCCGUAGCUGGUCUGAGAGGAGGACCAGCCACACUGGGACUGAGACACGGCCCAGACUCCUACGGGAGGCAGCAGUGGGGAAUUUUGGACAAUGGGGGCAACCCUGAUCCAGCCAUGCCGCGUGCGGGAAGAAGGCCUUCGGGUUGUAAACCGCUUUUGUUCGGGAAGAAAUCCUCUGGGCUAAUACCCCGGGGGGAUGACGGUACCGGAAGAAUAAGCACCGGCUAACUACGUG